UACGUAGGGUGCGAGCGUUAAUCGGAAUUACUGGGCGUAAAGCGUGCGCAGGCGGUUUGGUAAGACAGAUGUGAAAUCCCCGGGCUUAACCUGGGAAUUGCAUUUGUGACUGCCCGGCUAGAGUUUGGCAGAGGGGGGUAGAAUUCCACGUGUAGCAGUGAAAUGCGUAGAUAUGUGGAGGAAUACCGAUGGCGAAGGCAGCCCCCUGGGUCAAGACUGACGCUCAUGCACGAAAGCGUGGGGAGCAAACAGG
rnacentral:rRNA from 1 species